rnacentral:rRNA from 1 species
UAGGGAAUCUUCCGCAAUGGGCGAAAGCUUGACGGAGCAACGCCGCGUGAGUGAUGAAGGUCUUCGGAUCGUAAAACUCUGUUAUUAGGGAAGAACAAAUGUGUAAGUAACUAUGCACGUCUUGACGGUACCUAAUCAGAAAGCCACGGCUAACUACGUGCCAGCAGCCGCGGUAAUACGUAGGUGGCAAGCGUUAUCCGGAAUUAUUGGGCGUAAAGCGCGCGUAGGCGGUUUUUUAAGUCUGAUGUGAAAGCCCACGGCUCAACCGUGGAGGGUCAUUGGAAACUGGAAAACUUGAGUGCAGAAGAGGAAAGUGGAAUUCCAUGUGUAGCGGUGAAAUGCGCAGAGAUAUGGAGGAACACCAGUGGCGAAGGCGACUUUCUGGUCUGUAACUGACGCUGAUGUGCGAAAGCGUGGCGAUCAAACAGG